rnacentral:rRNA from 1 species
AGAGCGAACGCUGGCGGCAGGCUUAACACAUGCAAGUCGAACGGGCGUAGCAAUACGUCAGUGGCAGACGGGUGAGUAACGCGUGGGAACGUACCUUUUGGUUCGGAACAACACAGGGAAACUUGUGCUAAUACCGGAUAAGCCCUUACGGGGAAAGAUUUAUCGCCGAAAGAUCGGCCCGCGUCUGAUUAGCUAGUUGGUAGGGUAACGGCCUACCAAGGCGACGAUCAGUAGCUGGUCUGAGAGGAUGAUCAGCCACAUUGGGACUGAGACACGGCCCAAACUCCUACGGGAGGCAGCAGUGGGGAAUAUUGGACAAUGGGCGAAAGCCUGAUCCAGCCAUGCCGCGUGAGUGAUGAAGGCCUUAGGGUUGUAAAGCUCUUUUGUGCGGGAAGAUAAUGACGGUACCGCAAGAAUAAGCCCCGGCUAACUUCGCGCCAGCAGCCGC